UGAUAAAGUCCUGUAAUGAGAUAACAAGCAACCUGCAGGAACAGAAAACCACUAGGUUUUGGAUAUCUGAGUGGAUCGAGAGGCUUUGAGCCUUGAGGAGAACCAGAAAGUGAAGACUCACUAUAUCAUUUUAGUUAUCUGUAACAGGUGAAGGGGGAGAGAGGGGGAGAGACAUGGGAAUCAUUUAACAGGUGAAGGGGGAGAGAGGGGGAGAGACAUGGGAAUCAUUUAACAGGUGAAGGGGGGAGAGAGGGGGAGAGACAUGGGAAUCAUUUAACAGGUGAAGGGGGAGAGAGGGGGAGAGACAUGGGAAUCAUUUAACAGGUGGAGGGGGAGAGAGGUGGGAGAGACAUGGGAAUCAUUUAACAGGUGAAGGGGGAGAGAGGGGGAGAGACAUGGGAAUCAUUUAACAGGUGGAGGGGGAGAGAGGGGGAGAGACAUGGGAAUCAUUUAACAGGUGAAGGGGGAGAGAGGGGGAGAGACAUGGGAAUCAUUUAACAGGUGAAGGGGGAGAGAGGGGGAGAGACAUGGGAAUCAUUUAACAGGUGGAGGGGGAGAGAGGGGGAGAGACAUGGGAAUCAUUUAACAGGUGAGGGGGAGAGAGGGGG